AACAUACUCCCUCCGUCCCACAAUUCUUGUAUUAGAUUUGUCUAAAUAUAAAUGUAUCUAGUCACGUUUUAAUAUUUAGAUACAUCCAUUUCUAAACAAAAGUAAGACAAGAAUUUUGAGACGGAGGGAGUAUUUU
rnacentral:pre_miRNA from 1 species